UGGGGAAUUUUGGACAAUGGGGGAAACCCUGAUCCAGCCAUCCCGCGUGUGCGAUGAAGGCCUUCGGGUUGUAAAGCACUUUUUGGCAGGAAAGAAACGUCGCGGGGUUAAUACCCCGCGAAACUGACGGUACCUGCAGAAUAAGCACCGGCUAACUACGUGCCAGCAGCCGCGGUAAUACGUAGGGUGCAAGCGUUAAUCGGAAUUACUGGGGCGUAAAGCGUGCGCAGGCGGUUCGGAAAGAAAGAUGUGAAAUCCCAGAGCUUAACUUUGGAACUGCAUUUUUAACUACCGGGCUAGAGUGUGUCAGAGGGAGGUGGAAUUCCGCGUGUAGCAGUGAAAUGCGUAGAUAUGCGGAGGAACACC
rnacentral:rRNA from 1 species